UACGUAGGGGGCAAGCGUUGUCCGGAAUUAUUGGGCGUAAAGAGCGUGUAGGCGGUCCGGUAAGUCAGCUGUGAAAGUCAAGGGCUCAACCCUUGAAAGCCGGUUGAUACUGUCGGGCUAGAGUCCGGAAGAGGCGAGUGGAAUUCCCGGUGUAGCGGUGAAAUGCGCAGAUAUCGGGAAGAACACCAAUGGCGAAAGCAGCUCUCUGGGACGGUACUGACGCUGAGACGCGAAAGCGUGGGGAGCAAACGGG
rnacentral:rRNA from 1 species